rnacentral:rRNA from 1 species
GUCUCUGGCGAUGUCACCCCGAACAAGCCCGAUCCUGGCUGACCUUGGAGGCUAAGCAGGGUCGGGCCUGGUUAGUACUUGGAUGGGAGACCACCUAGGAAGACCAGGUGCUGUAGGCG